AUUGAACGCUGGCGGCAUGCCUUACACAUGCAAGUCGAACGGCAGCACGGGUGCUUGCACCUGGUGGCGAGUGGCGAACGGGUGAGUAAUACAUCGGAACAUGUCCUGUAGUGGGGGAUAGCCCGGCGAAAGCCGGAUUAAUACCGCAUACGAUCUUCGGAUGAAAGCGGGGGACCUUCGGGCCUCGCGCUAUAGGGUUGGCCGAUGGCUGAUUAGCUAGUUGGUGGGGUAAAGGCCUACCAAGGCGACGAUCAGUAGCUGGUCUGAGAGGACGACCAGCCACACUGGGACUGAGACACGGCCCAGACUCCUACGGGAGGCAGCAGUGGGGAAUUUUGGACAAUGGGCGAAAGCCUGAUCCAGCAAUGCCGCGUGUGUGAAGAAGGCCUUCGGGUUGUAAAGCACUUUUGUCCGGAAAGAAAUCCUUGGCCCUAAUACGGUCGGGGGAUGACGGUACCGGAAGAAUAAGCACCGGCUAACUACGUG
rnacentral:rRNA from 1 species